GAUGAAGAACGUAGCGAAAUGCGAUACGUAGUGUGAAUUGCAGAAUUCAGUGAAUCAUCGAAUCUUUGAACGCCCAUUGCACCUCUCGGUAUUCCGGGAGGUAUGCCUGUUCGAGCGUCAUUUGUACCCUCAAGCUCUGCUUGGUGUUGGGUGUUUGUUCCGCCUCUGUGUGUGAACUCGCCUCAAAACAAUUGGCAGCCGGCGUACUUGUUUCGGAGCGCAGCACAUUUUGCGAUCCAGAUCAACGUACAGCGGCAUCCAAGAAGCCUUAUUUAACGCUCUUGACCUCGGAUCAGGUAGGGAUACCCGCUGAACUUAAGCAUAUCAAUAAGCGGAGGA
rnacentral:misc_RNA from 1 species